CCCUUAGAUGUUCUGGGCUGCACGCGCGCUACACUGAUGCGAUCAACAAGUUUUUCCUAUGUCGAUAGACACGGGUAAUCUUUUGAACUCGCAUCGUGAUGGGGAUAGAUUAUUGUAAUUAUUAAUCUUCAACGAGGAAUUCCUAGUAGGUGCAAAUCAUCAGUUUGCAUCGAUUACGUCCCUGCCCUUUGUACACACCGCCCGUCGCUACUACCGAUUGAAUGGUUUAGUGAGGACUCCUGAUUGGCGCCGCCGCCCCGGCAACGGAGCAGCGGACUGCCGAAAAGUUGUUCAAACUUGAUCAUUUAGAGGAAGUAAAAGUCGUAACA
rnacentral:rRNA from 1 species